rnacentral:lncRNA from 1 species
UAAUGACCAAGUUACGUGAACCUUUAAACCAUAUUAAUUGCACCUUUAAUGAAAAAUAAUGCAUUAAUAAAAAAUAAAAUAAAAUAAAAUAAAGGACAAAUAAUUUAAGGAAAAAAACCCAAAAGAGAAACAUGAAUUCCUCAUUUUUGUCCUUUUUCUUUAAAUAUUUUUAAGAUAAUUUUUAAGAAAAUAUUUAAAAAAAAAAAAAAAAACAUUGUAUCCACC